AUAUGAUCUCUGCCACAACUAUUGAACUCUGUCAUCAUAGCAUAAAAGUAGCCAGAGACAACACAUACACAAAUGAGCAUAGCUAUGACCCAAUGAAACAUUAUUUACUAAAACAGGUAGUGGGCCAGAUUUGCCAAUUAUUGUACUAUAAUGGAUACACUUUCUCUCACAAGAGAAUUCUACCAUAGGUAAUAAUUUUAUAUUUGUAUAUUUGUGCAAUGAUGCCAAAACGUAAAUGAACAGAAAUGUUUAAAAAACAUGAUGUUUUUUAAACAUUGUUAAAAAACAAGACCAAAGCAUAAUGUUUAAGAAAUGUGAAUGUAUAUUUCCAUCUUUAAAGGCAUUUGAAUACAGUACAUGAAAUUCAAAACCUCAGUUGUGAAUUCGCUAUUUACCAAUGACAAGGUUUAAGUUCUUCAGUGGCCAUGAGUAAGUUAAGUUUGUCAUCACUUUUUGCCCUGGUGUAGUAUUUUCCAAAUAGUAAAUGCUCAAUUCACAUGUACAUUAAAGUAAAUACUAAGAAAACCCUCACAUGUAACUAGACACAAUUCUAUUCAUGUAUCUUUGAAAUCAACUGGAGACAUUAUCAAUUAAUGCAAAGAUCCUGGGCUUUCAAUCCAAAGAAGCUUACCUCUCUGCUCCAGAUGCUCAUCUUGCUGGCUGUGUGUCUCCAGGGAAUUGAAGCACCUUGAAAAGGAUAAGAAAACUUCAACAUUACAACGAUGUUUCAUAUCAUUAGGCUCAAAUUAAGUAAAUAACAGAAUCCUAAGCUGAUGACACAUCCUGGGUUUGCACUAAUCAUAAUUUGCAAUCUCCAUCAUUGUCAUCAGAACCUUUUUGCCUAGCAACAUUCCUGCUGCUGCUUCUGUUCCGACCCUCUGGGUGCAACUGAAGGAGGAGGCAGUCAAAAGGAAAAACACAAAUAUCUCCAAGAUGGCACUUACAAAAAGCAACAACAAUGACAAAGUAUAAAUACAAACACACACCUUGAAGUUUAUGUUCUUACUCAAAUGCAAGCAUCAACAAUGGCCUACUGUCAGCAAGUUAAAUGGCUGGGGCUGUUUCAGUCUCCCAUUACAUGAAGCACAACGUGAUGCAGCUGAUCACUCUCUCCUCCUUGAAACUCCUCCUUCACCUAACUUCCAAGGCAUCACAUGCUCCCAGACCUCACUGGCAUUACCUUCUUCAUCUCCUGGGCUGCUCACUCCUGAUUCCCCCAACUUCUACAGAAUCUUCUGGAGAGGAAAGAAGAAACCAUGUCUAGACAAGGUGCUGGAAAGACCCAGGGAAGACACAGGUGAGCUAAGAAAGCAGUAGAAACUGGGUAAUUAAAAGUCAACAUAAUGGCUGGAAACUUGUUCAAGGAGAUAUAAAAAGAAAGAAAAACCAAAA
ensembl:lncRNA LINC03000 long intergenic non-protein coding RNA 3000